rnacentral:rRNA from 1 species
CCUACGGGUGGCAGCAGUGGGGAAUAUUGGACAAUGGGCGAAAGCCUGAUCCAGCCAUGCCGCGUGAGUGAAGAAGGCCUUCGGGUUGUAAAGCUCUUUCGACGGGGAGGCGGUACCCGUAUAAGAAGCCCCGGCAAACUUCGUGCCAGCAGCCGCGGUAAUACGAAGGGGGCUAGCGUUGUUCGGAAUUACUGGGCGUAAAGCGAACGUAGGCGGUGUUCUUUGUCAGAGGUGAAAGCCUGGGGCUCAACUCCAGAAUUGCCUUUGAAACGGGGACGCUUGAGUCCGAGAGAGGGUGGCGGAAUUCCUAGUGUAGAGGUGAAAUUCGUAGAUAUUAGGAAGAACACCAGUGGCGAAGGCGGCCACCUGGCUCGGACUGACGCUCAGGUUCGAAAGCGUGGGGAGCAAACAGGAUUAGAUACCCUUGUAGUC